rnacentral:rRNA from 1 species
AUUGAACGCUGGCGGCAGGCCUAACACAUGCAAGUCGAACGAGUGGCGGACGGGUGAGUAAUGCUUGGGCAUGUGGCUUAUGGAGGGGGAUCACUACGGGAAACUGUAGCUAAUACCGCUUCCAAUAGGAUGAACCAACGUGGGAUUAGGUAGUUGGAUAGGUAAAGGCUCACCAAGCCGACGAUCUCUAGCUGGUCUGAGAGGAGGACCAGCCACACUGGGACUGAGACACGGCCCAGACUCCUACGGGAGGCAGCAGUGGGGAAUAUUGCGCAAUGGGGUCAACCUGACCCAGCCAUGCCGCGUGAAUGAAGAAGGUCUUCGGGUUGUAAAGUUCUUUAGGUAGCGAGGCGUUAACUACAGAAGAAGCACCGGCUAACUCCGUGCCAGCAGCCGCGGUAAUUC